GGUUAAGUGAAUAAGGGCGUACGGUGAAUGCCUUGGCACUAGGAGCCGAUGAAGGACGGGACGAACACCGAUAUGCUUCGGGGAGCUGUAAGUAAGCUUUGAUCCGGAGAUUUCCGAAUGGGGGAACCUCAUUGUUUUUAUCGACAAUGGUCCACUCAGUGAACACAUAGCUGAGUGGAAGGUAGACGUGGUGAACUGAAACAUCUCAGUAGCCACAGGAAGAGAAAGAAAAAUCGAUUUCCCGAGUAGCGGCGAGCGAAACGGAAAGAGGCCAAACCAGCGUGCUUGCAUGCUGGGGUUGUAGGACUGAUGGACGGGAGUGAAUGAGCUAGUCGAACGCCAUGGAAAGGGCGAUCAGAGAGGGUGACAAUCCCGUAGGCGAAAGCUCAGCCACCUCAUUCAGUAUCCUGAGUACGGCGGUACACGUGAAAUUCCGUCGGAAUCCGCCAGGACCAUCUGGCAAGCCUAAAUACUCCCUAGUGACCGAUAGUGAACCAGUACCGUGAGGGAAAGGUGAAAAGCACCCCGGAAGGGGAGUGAAAGAGUACCUGAAACCGUAUGCCUACAAGCAGUCAGAGCCCGUUAAGGGGUGAUGGCGUACUUUUUGUAGAACGGACCGGCGAGUGACGAUAGCAAGCAAGGUUAAGCUGAAGAAGCGGAGCCACAGCGAAAGCGAGUCUGAAGAGGGCGUUGAGUUUGUUGUCGUCGACCCGAAACCAAGUGAUCUACUCAUGUCCAGGCUGAAGGUGUGGUAAAACACACUGGAGGGCCGAACCCACGUCUGUUGAAAAAGGCGGGGAUGAGGUGUGGGUAGCGGUGAAAUUCCAAUCGAACUUGGAGAUAGCUGGUUCUCUCCGAAAUAGCUUUAGGGCUAGCCUCGGAUGAUGACUAUUGGAGGUAGAGCACUGUUUGAUCGAGGGGUCCAUCCUGGAUUACCGACAUCUGAUAAACUCCGAAUGCCAAAUAGUUUAGUCCGGGAGUCAGACUGCGAGUGAUAAGAUCCGUAGUCGAAAGGGAAAGAGCCCAGACCACCAGCUAAGGUCCCAAAGUUUCAGUUAAGUGGAAAAGGAUGUGGGGUUGCUUAGACAACUAGGAUGUUGGCUUAGAAGCAGCCAUCAUUGAAAGAGUGCGUAAUAGCUCACUAGUCGAGUGACCCUGCGCCGAAAAUGUACCGGGGCUAAACUGAACACCGAAGCUGUGGAUCCGUAGGAUGGUAGGAGAGCGUUCUAUAGGCAGAGAAGCAUGAUCGUGAGGACAUGUGGAGCGUAUAGAAGUGAGAAUGCCGGUAUGAGUAGCGAAAGACGGGUGAGAAUCCCGUCCACCGAAUGACUAAGGUUUCCUGGGGAAGGCUCGUCCUCCCAGGGUUAGUCGGGACCUAAGCCGAGACCGAAAGGGAUAGGCGAUGGACAACAGGUUGAGAUUCCUGUACUUGUUUGAUUUGUUUGAGCGAUGGAAGGACACAGAAGGCUAAGCGGAGCGCGGAGAUGGAAAAACGCGUCCAAGCAAUAAGUGAGAAGGUGAGUGAAAGGCUUGCCUCAGACUUCAUGAGUUGUGACGGGGAGGGAAAUUUAGUACCGAAGCCGCCGACGUCACGCUGUCAAGAAAAGUUUCUAGUGAGAAUCAAACAACCCGUACCGCAAACCGACACAGGUAGUCGAGUGGAGAACACUAAGGUGAGCGAGCGAACUCUCGUUAAGGAACUCGGCAAAAUGACCCCGUAACUUCGGGAGAAGGGGUGCUGACCGCAAGGUCAGCCGCAGUGAAUAGGCCCAAGCGACUGUUUAUCAAAAACAUAGGUCUCUGCCAAAUCGAAAGAUGAUGUAUAGAGGCUGACGCCUGCCCGGUGCUGGAAGGUUAAGAGGAAGGGUUAGCGUAAGCGAAGCUCUGAAUUGAAGCCCCAGUAAACGGCGGCCGUAACUAUAACGGUCCUAAGGUAGCGAAAUUCCUUGUCAGGUAAGUUCUGACCCGCACGAAAGGCGUAACGAUUUGGGCACUGUCUCAACGAGAAGCUCGGUGAAAUUGUAGUACCAGUGAAGAUGCUGGUUACCCGCGACAGGACGGAAAGACCCCAUGGAGCUUUACUGUAGGUUGAUAUUGAAUGUUUGUGCCACAUGUACAGGAUAGGUAGGAGCCAUCGAAGUCGGGACGCUAGUCUCGAUGGAGGCACUGGUGGGAUACUACCCUUGUGGGAUGACCAUUCUAACCCGCGACCAUUAGCUGGUCGGGAGACAGUGUCAGUCAGGCAGUUUGACUGGGGCGGUCGCCUCCUAAAGUGUAACGGAGGCGCCCAAAGGUUCCCUCAGAAUGGUUGGAAAUCAUUCGCAGAGUGUAAAGGCAGAAGGGAGCUUGACUGCGAGACCUACAAGUCGAGCAGGGACGAAAGUCGGGCUUAGUGAUCCGGUGGUUCCGCAUGGAAGGGCCAUCGCUCAACGGAUAAAAGCUACCCUGGGGAUAACAGGCUUAUCUCCCCCAAGAGUUCACAUCGACGGGGAGGUUUGGCACCUCGAUGUCGGCUCAUCGCAUCCUGGGGCUGAAGUCGGUCCCAAGGGUUGGGCUGUUCGCCCAUUAAAGCGGUACGCGAGCUGGGUUCAGAACGUCGUGAGACAGUUCGGUCCCUAUCCGUCGCGGGCGUUGGAAAUUUGAGAGGAGCUGUCCUUAGUACGAGAGGACCGGGAUGGACACACCGCUGGUGUACCAGUUGUUCCACCAGGAGCAUGGCUGGGUAGCUAUGUGUGGACGGGAUAAGCGCUGAAAGCAUCUAAGCGUGAAGCCCCCCUCAAGAUGAGAUUUCCCAUACUUUUAAAGUAGUAAGACCCCUGAAAGACGAUCAGGUUGAUAGGUUUGGAGUGGAAGCUUAGCAAUAAGUGGAGCGGACAAAUACUAAUCGGUCGAGGACUUAUCCAA
rnacentral:rRNA from 1 species